AAUGAACGCUAGCGGUGUGGAUUAGGCAUGCAAGUCGUGCGCGAAAGCCUUCGGGCGAGUAAAGCGGCGAAAGGGUGAGUAACACGUAACCAACGUACCCCACGGACUGGGAUAACCACUGGAAACGGUGGGUAAUACCAGAUGGACCACUGGGAGGCAUUUCCUGGCUGGUAAACGGCGGCCUGAGGUUUACUCAGGCGGUUGCCGAGGGAGCGGGUUGCGGCCUAUCAGCUAGUUGGCGAGGUAACGGCUCACCAAGGCGA
rnacentral:rRNA from 1 species